GUCGCACUGGAUUGAUCGGGAUUCUCAUCAAAUAACAAAUCUAACCGAGGUCACUUCAGAUGUUAAUGGCGGGCCGCCCCGAGCGGAUUACAGAGACUCUGAACCCUCAAAUCCUAUCAAAAAGGAGUUUCAUCACAUCACCAGUGCGACUUUU
rnacentral:sRNA from 1 species